AUUAAAGUUCAAUCCGAUUCGGGUCCGAGCUGUCAGGAGACCCGAAUUUGUUUUAAUCACCCAGGCCGCAUCCGGAGUCCAAAUCAAGCAAACAAGUACUUGUUGGAAAGGUAAUUACAAGACCUUUCCAACGGAUCUGGCCCCAUAAAGAGAUUCGACUUGUGCUGACCGUGGCGGACAAAACAAGCUGACGGAUCUGUUUUUCUGUUUCCUAAAGAGUUGUAGUUUGUUAGGAAAGUUAGAGAUAGAGUUGGAUUUCGGACUCCUUAUUCAAAGUGGACGAAAAUAUCUCUCCCUCCUCCUUUAUAUACCCCAUGAGCCCCCCUAAGGAGCCUUGGGUUUUGUUUAGUUAAAAGUUA
rnacentral:lncRNA from 1 species